GACGAACGCUGGCGGCGUGCUUAACACAUGCAAGUCGUGCGGUAAGGCCCUUCCGGGGGUACACGCGCGGGGAACGGGUGGGUAACACGCGAGCAACUUGCCCUUCACUUUGGGAUAACUGCCGGAAACAGUGGGUAAUUCCGGCUAUGACUUCCCCACGCAUGCGGGGUGGUGGUAAGCCAUCGGGUGGGGGGGGAUGGGCACGCGGGGUAUCAGCUUGUUGGGGGGGGGGUGGCCCACCAAGGCUUCGACGGGUAGCCGGCCUGAGAGGGUGACCGGCCACAUGGGGACUGAGACACGGCCCAGACUCCUACGGGAGGCAGCAGUGGGGAAUAUUGCACAAUGGGCGAAAGCCUGAUCCAGCAACGCCGCGUGAGGGAUGACGGCCUUCGGGUUGUAAACCUCUUUCGCCUGCGACGAAGCGAGAGUGACGGUAGCAGGUAAAGAAGCACCGGCUAACUACGUG
rnacentral:rRNA from 1 species